rnacentral:lncRNA from 1 species
CAGAACAGAACAGAAAUGAAAAAAAAAAAAAAAAAAAAAGAAAAAAAAAAGAAUAGAAUAGGAGCAAAAUAGAAUGGAGUGGAAUGGAAUGGAAUGGAACAGAACAGAGUGAUGUAAAACGAAAUAAAAAUGAAUAAAAUAAAUGAAAUAAUUAAAAAAAAAACCCCAAAAAACCAAAAACAGAACAUAACGGCGAUAGCUCCCUUCCCCUCCCCCCCCCGCUUCCUCCCCUCCCCCUCUGGGCCCCGCGGUCGGGCCGUUCAGCACCUGCGUGCGGCCGCAGCCCCGUGUGUGUAUGUGUGUGUGUGUGUGUGUGUGUGUGUGUGUGUGUGUGUGUGUGUGCGGGCGCGGAGCGGUGCGGCUUACGGAGCGCAGCAUGAGGGCGCGCCCCCCCCGGGCUGCCCCAGCGACCCCCCGCUAUGGAGGGUUUCGCCGCCCGGAGUUACGGCACGGGAGGGCCGGACAACCGCCCGCUGUUCGGGGAGACCUCGACCAGGGACAGGAUCAUCAAUUUAGUUGUUGGCAGCCUGACGUUCCUGCUGCUUGUAGUCACUUUGAUCAGUGCUUUUGUCUUCCCACAACUACCUCCAAAACCUGUGAAUAUAUUUUUUGCUAUCUGCAUCUUCUUGUGUUGCAUUUCUGCCGGCAUACUUAUCUACUGGUAUCGACAGGGAGACCUGGAACCUAA